rnacentral:rRNA from 1 species
AUGCAGCGACGCCGCGUGAGGGAUGGAGGCCUUCGGGUUGUAAACCUCUUUCGCCAGUGAAGCAGGCCUGCUCCUUGUGGGUGGGUUGACGGUAGCUGGAUAAGAAGCGCCGGCUAACUACGUGCCAGCAGCCGCGGUAAUACGUAGGGCGCGAGCGUUGUCCGGAAUUAUUGGGCGUAAAGAGCUCGUAGGCGGCUGGUCGCGUCUGUCGUGAAAUCCUCUGGCUUAACUGGGGGCUUGCGGUGGGUACGGGCCGGCUUGAGUGCGGUAGGGGAGACUGGAACUCCUGGUGUAGCGGUGGAAUGCGCAGAUAUUCAGGAAGAACACCGGUGGCGAAGGCGGGUU